CGUGCAGGUCCGUUGUCAC
rnacentral:misc_RNA from 1 species